rnacentral:tRNA from 1 species
UGGUAGCUCAGUUGGAUAGAGCAACUGCCUUCUAAGCAGUAGGUCUCGGGUUCGAAUCCCG